rnacentral:rRNA from 1 species
AGAGUUUGAUUAUGGCUCAGGAUGAACGCUAGCUACAGGCUUAACACAUGCAAGUCGAGGGGAAACGACAUCGAAAGCUUGCUUUCGAUGGGCGUCGACCGGCGCACGGGUGAGUAACGCGUAUCCAACCUGCCCACCACUUGGGGAUAACCUUGCGAAAGUAAGACUAAUACCCAAUGAUAUCUCUAGAGGGCAUCUGAAAGAGAUUAAAGAUUUAUCGGUGAUGGAUGGGGAUGCGUCUGAUUAGCUUGUUGGCGGGGUGACGGCCCACCAAGGCGACGAUCAGUAGGGGUUCUGAGAGGAAGGUCCCCCACAUUGGAACUGAGACACGGUCCAA